rnacentral:tRNA from 1 species
GGGAAUGUGGCUUAGUGGUAGAGUGCUUGCUUAACAUGCAAGAAGCCCUGGGUUCAAUUCCUCAGUACCA